rnacentral:tRNA from 1 species
GCUCCGGUAGUAUAGCCCGGUUAAGUAUGCCGGCCUCUCGAGCCGGCGGUCGCGGGUUCAAAUCCCGCCCGGAGCACCA